UGGGGAAUAUUCCACAAUGGGCGCAAGCCUGAUGCAGCCAUGCCGCGUGUAUGAAGAAGGCCUUCGGCUUGUAAAGUACUUUCAGCGGGGAGGAAGGCGAUAAGGUUAAUAACCUUGUCGAUUGACGUUACCCGCAGAAGAAGCACCGGCUAACUCCGUGCCAGCAGCCGCGGUAAUACGGAGGGUGCAAGCGUUAAUCGGAAUUACUGGGCGUAAAGCGCACGCAGGCGGUCUGUCAAGUCGGAUGUGAAAUCCCCGGGCUCAACCUGGGAACUGCAUUCGAAACUGGCAGGCUAGAGUCUUGUAGAGGGGGGUAGAAUUCCAGGUGUAGCGGUGAAAUGCGUAGAGAUCUGGAGGAAUACCGGUGGCGAAGGCGGCCCCCUGGACAAAGACUGACGCUCAGGUGCGAAAGCGUGGGGAGCAAACA
rnacentral:rRNA from 1 species